rnacentral:rRNA from 1 species
GAUGAACGCUGGCGGCGUGCCUAACACAUGCAAGUCGAACGAAGCACCUCGAUUCCUUCGGGAUGAGGGGUGACUGAGUGGCGGACGGGUGAGUAACGCGUGGGUAACCUGCCUCACACAGGGGGAUAACAGCUGGAAACGGCUGCUAAUACCGCAUAAGCGCACAGUACCGCAUGGUACAGUGUGAAAAGUUUUUUCGGUGUGAGAUGGACCCGCGUCUGAUUAGCUAGUUGGUGAGGUAACGGCUCACCAAGGCGACGAUCAGUAGCCGGCCCGAGAGGGUGAACGGCCACAUUGGGACUGAGACACGGCCCAA